rnacentral:rRNA from 1 species
CCUACGGGUGGCAGCAGUGAGGAAUCUUGGUCAAUGGGCGAGAGUCUGAACCAGCCAAGUCGCGUGAAGGAUGAAGGCUCUAUGGUUUGUAAACUUCUUUUAUAUGGGAAUAAAGUGUGGAACGUGUUCUGUUUUGUAUGUACCAUAUGAAUAAGCAUCGGCUAACUCCGUGCCAGCAGCCGCGGUAAUACGGAGGAUGCGAGCGUUAUCCGGAUUUAUUGGGUUUAAAGGGUGCGUAGGUGGAUAGUUAAGUCAGUGGUGAAAGUUUGUGGCUCAACCAUAAAAUUGCCGUUGAAACUGGCAGUCUUGAGUAUAUUAGAGGUAGGCGGAAUGCGUGGUGUAGCGGUGAAAUGCUUAGAUAUCACGCAGAACUCCGAUUGCGAAGGCAGCUUACUGGACUAUAACUGACACUGAGGCACGAAAGCGUGGGGAUCAAACAGGAUUAGAUACCCGAGUAGUC